rnacentral:rRNA from 1 species
GAUGAACGCUGGCGGCGUGCCUAAUACAUGCAAGUCGAACGAAUCUUCUUCGGAAGAUGAGUGGCGAACGGGUGAGUAAUACAUAGGUAACCUGCCCCUGUGCGGGGGAUAACAGGCGGAAACUCCUGCUAAUACCGCAUAGCCAUUAGCACCGCAUGGAGCUAAUGCCAAAUAUCCUUUAUGGGAUAGCGCAGGGAUGGACCUAUGGCGGAUUAGCUGGUUGGCGGGGCAACGGCCCACCAAGGCAACGAUGCGUAGCCGGCCUGGGAGGGGGGACGGCCACAUUGGGACUGAGACACGGCCCAGACUCCUACGGGAGGCAGCAGUAGGGAAUUUUCGGCAAUGGGGGAAACCCUGACCGAGCAACGCCGCGUGAGCGAAGAAGGCCUUCGGGUCGUAAAGCUCUGUUGUAAAGGAAGAACGGCGCAUACAGGAAAUGGUAUGCGAGUGACGGUACUUUACCAGAAAGCCACGGCUAACUACGUGCCAGCAGCCGCAGUAA